rnacentral:misc_RNA from 1 species
GGCUACUGCUACAUUGAAGGGUAAAAAGAGAAGUCGUAAACAUCACCAACUCGGUUAAAUAAUGUAGUGUACACAUCAAAAUAUGAGACUAAUUAAUGGGAAAAAACAGUAAACAGCCGGUUCAUUGUCUAAACCAGAUUAUUCUUUAAAUUUUUAUGACAUAUUGUUUAGAGUUGUCUGCUACAUACAUAAAAGCAGACUAGUAGCAGGUGAAAAACCAAAUGCUCUAUUCUGUAGAGGAAAACCGCACAACAGAUUUCAGUAGUUUACGAAGACAUCUUUGCAAUAUUACUUCAUGCAUUUCAUAAAUUAUGAUACAUGUACUCUUUCACGAGGUCAGCCUGUGCAAAAGUAUAAGUUGAAGAGAAAGCUUAGUCCUGGUUAUCAGUUAUGGCAGGGAUGACCAACAGUUGAGAACCCCCUUAAAGCUCUGAUCCCCUGGUUAAUAGUCAUGCACCAUGCAUGAAAGCAAGGCAUCAUUAUUGCAGAAUUGGAGGUGCCCCUCCAGGAGUUAGUUACUUACAAGAAUCUGUUUAAAGUAGUUGUUGAACAAGAAGAAUUGAUCCAUAUUAAUCCAGAUUUGUAAGCUAAAAUGAUAAUAUCAGACCAUCUGCUCAGAAGUGUUCCAGAAAAAGUGGUGUCUCUUUUAGUUUGAAAGAAAUUAUAUAUUAUUUGUUGUGCACCAUGAAAGCAUAUAAACUACAAAGAAAUUAAGCAAAUACACAAAACACGUGAUUUACCCUCUCAACAUAUGACUACAUCCACGGGCAUGCCAUC